rnacentral:rRNA from 1 species
UACGGAGGGUGCAAGCGUUAAUCGGAAUUACUGGGCGUAAAGCGUGCGUAGACGGUUGCAUAAGUCGGAUGUGAAAUCCCCGGGCUCAACCUGGGAAUUGCAUUCGAGACUGUGUAGCUGGGGUGCGGAAGAGGGAAGCGGAAUUUCCGGUGUAGCGGUGAAAUGCGUAGAUAUCGGGAGGAACACCAGUGGCGAAGGCGGCAUCCUGGCCAUGUCCUGACGCUCAGGGGCGAAAGCGUGGGGAGCAAACCGG